rnacentral:lncRNA from 10 species
GGCCAGUGGGAGCCAUGGGCAGGAGAAACGGAAGGGCCUUGACAUAUUAUUCCCCUGGCUCACUACAUGCUGGGCUGGGGCUUGUCAGCGGCUUUAUCCUGUAGACAGCCUUUUCCAACAGCUGCAAUUCUCUCUGGGCUCCAGCGACUGACUCCUGGCCCUUCCCUUCGUGCUUAGCAGCAGCUUCUGGGUGGUGCUGGCCCCUGGGUGCUUUACCAUCCCUUGUUGAUUUCCCUUAAACCUCACCAAACCUUUGUAAAUUGUCCUUUUCUCAAACUCUCUUUAAUUUCUCCUUUUGAAUUUGCCAUCUCUUUCCUGCCAGGACCCUGAGCUUUAAAAUCCUUAUGGCACAGUUCAGCUUCAUCCUGUGUCAUGUCUACCUAUGAGAAUAUCCUGAUGGCACAUUUGACGGAGCUCAUGUUUCAUAAUCAUUAUGGAAACCAAUCGUCAGAUCUCCCAGAUCAUAUCAAGCAACUGAAACUCACCAGAUCACUGCAUCUGGACAACGAGAUGCCAGACCCCUCACUCUUCAUGAUUGCCUAUCCGACCACCUGCUUCUUGUUGACCAGCUCAUCUUCCUUACUCCUCCCUAAUUUCUGUUUUCCCACACAUGGUUACAUUUCUUCCCUGCUAUAUAAACUCCUGAAUUUAGUCGGUGAAAGAGAUGGAUUUGAGACUGAUCUCCCAUCUCCUCAGCUGUAGCAUCCAAUUAAAGCCUUCUUCCC